UUUUCAUCGGUUGGUUGGAGUAUGUGAGAUGAUAAGAAUUUGCUUCCCUUUCUCUGGAUCGACCACCCACACUGCCAGGCUCAACUCCUCAGAUUCUUUUGAGAACUUCAAACAGUAUAUUCUCACAGUCGAUAAGAAAAAAUUAUAUAUUUCAGCAUACUGGGUCUGUUUCACAUUAUAUCAAUGUGCAACUCCAUUUGGUGGUAUUGUAGAAGGUCCCAUGAUAGUUGCAGCUCCAUUACAGAAUUAAAAUGCCCAAGUUUUCCAACACCAAUCACGGACUUUGAGAGCCUCUUUUCCAACACUGCUGCAAAAAGCUUGUCUACAGGCGACAUAUCUGACUCUGGCAGCAGUUCCCAUCCUGCAGUAGCCUCAGCUUCCAAACUCAAAGGUGUGGUGUGCCAAAUCAAUGGGCACUGGGGUGCACAGAUAUAUGAAGACCAUCAGCGCAUCCGGCUAGGAACCUUUAAAUCCGAAACUGAAGCCGCUAUGGCAUAUGAUAGCGCCGCCAACCGACUCCGCAGCCCUGGAACUUCCUGUGGACGGACACCACUCUCAAGGAGCCAAACUUUCAGAGCCAGUUCAGCACCCAAGCUCUCCUUGGCAUGAUCAGAGCCGGUACUGCUAUUGGAAAAGCAGCCAGAGGUUUGUCUUCACUCGAGGCAGGGACGGAUUUGUAAGGAAAAGGGGUUGAUACCACGGGAUUAUGUCAUCUUUCCAUCCUACAAGUGUGGUGAUAAAAAGUAUGCAUGAUCGGCGUAGCCUACAAGAACGGGGGCUGUGCAGCUAUGCGUCUGCGUAGCAAUGGAAAUUUAAAAAGCCCAAAAAUGGACAGUGCUUGGGUGGGACAUGAAGGCACCUAUGGAAAGAUGGGAUUCAACGGGGCAGCAAAGGAAGGAUUAGUACAGCCUUAUGUCGUCUUGAUGGAAGUCAAUUCGGUGGUAUGGUAGAAGGUCCGAAUUCUAUAGCUGCAGCUCCAGUACAAGU